AGCAGCCGCGGUAAUUCCAGCUCCAAUAGCGUAUAUUAAAGUUGUUGCAGUUAAAAAGCUCGUAGUUGAAUUUCGGGGUCAGUAGGUUGGUCGUGCCACUGGUAUGCACUGGUCUCACUGAUUCCUCCUUCCUGAUGAACCGUAAUGCCAUUAAUUUGGUGUUGCGGGGAAUCUGGACUGUUACUUUAGAAAAAAUUAGAGUGUUUAAAGCAGGCUAACGCUUGAAUACAUUAGCAUGGAAUAAUGAAAUAGGACGGUCGAUCCUAUUUUGUUGGUUUCUAGGAUUGACGUAAUGAUUAAUAGGGAUAGUUGGGGGCAUUAGUAUUCAAUUGUCAGAGGUGAAAUUCUUGGAUUUAUUGAAGACUAACUACUGCGAAAGCAUUUGCCAAGGAUGUUUUCAUUAGUCAAGAACGAAAGUUAGGGGAUCGAAGACGAUCAGAUACCGUCGUAGUCUUAACCAUAAACUAUGCCGACUAGGGAUCGGAUGAUGUUAAUUUUUUAAUGACUCAUUCGGCGUACC
rnacentral:rRNA from 1 species